AGGUGGCACCCAGAGCCUUGUGUAUGUUAAGAGGAUGUUUCAGUACUGAGUCUUACACUUGCUUACCUGAGCAGCUUUUACAAAGUUGGUUCCACCCAUCAGUCAAGUAGGACAAGAGGAAGGCACAUUUCUGGAGACCUGGGACAUAAGAAGAGAGAGAAUGGAAAAGGAAAAUAGACACGCAGCAUUCGAAUUCAAAAAGUGUGGAAAGCUUUGGAGCAUCAGUUUCUGUCUGUCAGAUUUAAAACAGUGCUGCUGUCUGAAACAUCUAAGAGAUUUUACAGUUCCUCUAUGAAUUUGAUGAUUUCUUGCUAGAUGUCUCAAUAGUACAUGUAAAGAUAAUCAGUCUAUCCAAUAUAAUUUUAAUCAUCUACAAUCCAUGUACAAGAUCUGAAACUCAAAGAACUACAUUUUACUAAUUUCAGAGAUCUGCUUUGAGAUGACUACAGCAAGGGUAUAUGGCUUGACAGGAAUUUCGUUAGAGAUCUUAACACAGCAGACUUCAUCUCAAGUGGUCACUUCCACAAAAGUGACCUUCAGAGCCUGUGAGAGCAAAUAAAGAUUGUUUUAGGAUGCUAAAUUGCAGGAAGACUGUACUGUUCAUGUACUGUGAACUGCAACAAGGGAGUAGGAGGCCAGAAGUAUGCCAGGACUCAAAAAAUGCGAGUGUGAAUGUGAACUCUGCUGUAUAUUUUAGCCUUGCUCGCUUGCUGACAGGAUCAGAGAGGUGAGGUUAGAAAAGCGAAGUCAUUCUGAG
ensembl:lncRNA